CCUACGGGGGGCAGCAGUGGGGGAUAUUGCACAAUGGGGGAAACCCUGAUGCAGCGACGCCGCGUGUGGGAAGACGGUCCUCUGGGUUGUAAACCACUGUCCCCAGGGACGAAGAUGACGGUACCUGGGGAGGAAGCUCCGGCUAACUACGUGCCAGCAGCCGCGGUAAUACGUAGGGAGCGAGCGUUGUCCGGAAUUACUGGGUGUAAAGGGAGCGUAGGCGGGACUGCAAGUUGGGGGUCAAAUCUACGGGCUCAACCGGUAGCCGCACUCAAAACUGCAGUUCUUGAGUGAAGUAGAGGCAGGCGGAAGUCCUAGUGUAGCGGUGAAAUGCGUAGAUAUUAGGAGGAACACCAGUGGCGAAGGCGGCCUGCUGGGCUUUUACUGACGCUGAGGCUCGAAAGUGUGGGGAGCAAACAGGAUUAGAUACCCCUGUAGUC
rnacentral:rRNA from 1 species